rnacentral:rRNA from 1 species
GAUGAACGCUAGCGGCAGGCUUAACACAUGCAAGUCGAGGGGCAUCGAGAGUAGCAAUACUUGUCGGCGACCGGCGCAAGGGUGCGUAACACGUGAGCAACAUACCCGUUUCAGGAGGAUAACCGGAGGAAACUCUGCCUAAUACUCCAUGACAUCAUCAAACGGCAUCGUUUGAUGAUUAAAGAUUUAUCGGAAACGGCUUGGCUCGCGGGACAUUAGCUCGUUGGUGAGGUAACGGCUCACCAAGGCGACGAUGUCUAGGGGUUCUGAGAGGAAGGUCCCCCACACUGGAACUGAGACACGGUCCAGACUCCUACGGGAGGCAGCAGUGAGGAAUCUUGCGCAAUGGGGGAAACCCUGACGCAGCAACGCCGCGUGAGUGAGGAAGGCCUUCGGGUCGUAAAGCUCUGUCGGGUGGAAGAAACGCAUGGGUGCUAAUACCAUCUAUGCUUGACGUACGCCAAGGAAGCACCGGCUAACUCCGUGCC